rnacentral:lncRNA from 1 species
CCGAACUUAAAAGUCUUUGGCCCACAACAAUUAAAAGGUGAGGCCCAAAUAGAAAAGCCCAAACUUAAUUAAAAUAGCAUCAAGCCCAACUCUCUCUCUCUCUCAAACUAUCGGUCCUCUCUCUUCUUUUCCCAGCAGAACACGCUCCACUCCCUCUCCACUCGAUCUCGUCUCUCUUUUUCUCCAAGACAGCAGCGCCGCCUUCUUCCUUGGCUGUUCAGCGGCCGUCAUCUGCUCCGAUCAGUUUCGAUCGGCGACGCAUCAACCUCCGGCGUUGUUCUCUCUCUUCAUCGCAGACCCAAAAUCGAGCCUUAGUCUCAUCUGGUAAGUCGCCGCUGUCGCACCUCCGUCUGGAAUCCGGCGAGCGGUCGGCGCCGGUCGUGGCCGUCUCUCUCUCCCCGUCUGAAAUCCGACGGGUUGCUGUCGUCUGGGAGCGGC